CUCCGAGAAACGCAAACCAGUCGAAAGGCUGGGACGCAAAGUCAGGAAUCUACGGCGAGCGCCCGCUCGUUAAGAUCGUCCGACCGCCACG
rnacentral:ncRNA from 1 species